UCCGUAGGCGGUGUGGCAAGUCGGAAGUGAAAUCUCUGGGCUUAAUCCAGAGGCUGCUUCCGAAACUGCCGUGCUAGAGUGUGAGAGAGGCGAGUGGAAUUGCGGGUGUAGCGGUGAAAUGCGUAGAUAUCCGCAGGAACAUCCGAGGCGAAAGCGGCUCGCUGGAUCACAACUGACGCUGAGGGACGAAAGCUAGGGGAGCAAACAGGAUUAGAUACCCUGGUAGUCCUAGCCCUAAACCAUCAGGACUUGGGGUUUGCCCUGUACGGGGCAAGUCCCGUAGCUAACGCGUUAAGUCCUGCGCCUGGGGAGUACGGUCGCAAGGCUGAA
rnacentral:rRNA from 1 species